rnacentral:rRNA from 1 species
AGCAACCUGCCCUAGGCUUUGGGAUAACCCUCGGAAACGGGGGCUAAUACCGAAUAUGACCUCGCAUCGCAUGGUGUGUGGUGGAAAGUUUUUCGGCCUGGGAUGGGCUCGCGGCCUAUCAGCUUGUUGGUGGGGUGAUGGCCUACCAAGGCGACGACGGGUAGCCGGCCUGAGAGGGCGACCGGCCACACUGGGACUGAGACACGGCCCAGACUCCUACGGGAGGCAGCAGUGGGGAAUAUUGCACAAUGGGCGGAAGCCUGAUGCAGCGACGCCGCGUGAGGGAUGACGGCCUUCGGGUUGUAAACCUCUUUCAGCAGGGACGAAGCGUAAGUGACGGUACCUGCAGAAGAAGCGCCGGCCAACUACGUGCCAGCAGCCGCGGUAAGACGUAGGGCGCGAGCGUUGUCCGGAUUUAUUGGGCGUAAAGAGCUCGUAGGCGGCUUGUCGCGUCGACCGUGAAAACCUGG